GUUUUAUUAAUUAUUACCGCACCCGCUGGUUUACCAGUCAUAAAACUCCCGCAAACGCACCUAUUAUCAAACGCUUAUCCAGUCGUUCAAAACGCUUGAUAACGCUUAAAACCGCAACCACCGGUUUCCGCAAACUUCCGUAACCGCAUCCACUCCGUUUAAACCAGCCAGGCCCUAUAUUUUGCUUCUUAGUCAACAGUAUAAUUUCAAGUUAAGAAGGAAAAAAAAACUCUUAAAGGGC
rnacentral:sRNA from 1 species